AUAACUUUCAGCAACGGAUCUCUUGGCUCUCGCAUCGAUGAAGAACGCAGCGAAAUGCGAUAAGUAAUGUGAAUUGCAGAAUUCAGUGAAUCAUCGAAUCUUUGAACGCACCUUGCGCUCCUUGGUAUUCCUUGGAGCAUGCCUGUUUGAGUAUCA
rnacentral:rRNA from 1 species